rnacentral:rRNA from 1 species
UACGUAGGGUGCAAGCGUUGUCCGGAAUUAUUGGGCGUAAAGAGCUCGUAGGCGGUUUGUCGCGUCUGCUGUGAAAACCCGAGGCUCAACCUCGGGCCUGCAGUGGGUACGGGCAGACUAGAGUGCGGUAGGGGAGAUUGGAAUUCCUGGUGUAGCGGUGGAAUGCGCAGAUAUCAGGAGGAACACCAAUGGCGAAGGCAGAUCUCUGGGCCGUAACUGACGCUGAGGAGCGAAAGCGUGGGGAGCGAUCCGG